UUUGUGGUGAUGAUCCGUUCCCCAAAUUAUCGUCCAUGAUUAUGCUGUGCGAUUUUUCGAGGUCUUGCGGACUUCUAAGCCAGAUUCUUCGAU